GCAUUUUCCUUGAAAACUAGAACAAGACAAGGAUGCCCUCUCUCACCACUUCUAUUAAACAUAGUGUUGGAAGUCCUAACCAGAGCAAUCAGGUAAGAGAAAGAAAUAAAAGGCAUCCAAAUGGGAAGAGAGGAAGUCAAAAUAUCUCUGUUUGCAGAUGACAUGAUUGUAUAUUUAGAAAACCCCAUCGUCUCAGCCCAAAAUCUCCUUAAG
rnacentral:misc_RNA from 1 species